UCUGGGUUUUGCACCCAGGUUGAGCUCCCCUCCCUCACCCACACGGAGAGUUUACCUUCUGCAGACUCCAGUGGCUCAGAAACCAGGGAUGCAGGGCCAGGAUCGUGGGGUGCCACAGCAGAUGUGGGGAUUUUUCCUUCUUUAUGUUUUUCUGAAGAUGGGAGGCACUGCAGGACAAAGCAUUGAGCAGCCCAGUGAGUUGACAGCUGUGGAAGGAGCCUUCAUGCAGGUGGACUGCACGUAUCGGACAUCUGGGUUCAAUGGACUGUCCUGGUACCAGCAACGUGACAGAGGAGCACCCAUAUUUCUCUCUUACAGUGUUCUGGAUGGUUUGGAGGGGAGAGGUCGCUUUUCUUCAUUCCUUAAUCGCUCUGCUGGGUACAGUUACCUCCUUCUGAAGGAGCUCCAGAUGAAAGACUCUGCCUCCUACCUCUGUGCCGUGAGAGACACGGUGACAAUGAGGCCUCCUCAGCUGCAUCAAAAUUCAAAAUGCAACCACAGCAGUGAGAAGUUUUGUUUCCUGAGUGCAUGCCUGCUGUGAGUUAAGAUUGAGGACUUUGGAAUCAGACUUGAGUGCAAGUAGUUAUUUGAGAAGUAAUCCCAGGAAACACCAGUAGGAAAGUGGAAAAGUGAGCUAGGGAGGGAAGGAAGCAGAUGAAGUGUACAUUUGUUACACUUUACUGGCUUCUUGUGGACAACCAGAAUUUAAUUCUGCCAGAGAACUGUGGAGCCAGUGGAACACAAGCUUAGAAUUAUCCUUCUGAAAGGAUAAGAAAAUUGGAAUACUUAUC